UGCAACCUACCCUUUACAGGCGGAUAGCUCGGGGAAACUCGAAUUAACCCACCAUAAUAUAAUUGGAUGGCAUCAUUUGAUUAUUAAAUCUGCGGAGGUAAAGGAUGGGCAUGCGUCUGAUUAGUUAGUUGGUAGUGUAACGGACUACCAAGACGAUGAUCAGUAGGGGAACUGAGAGGUUGAUCC
rnacentral:rRNA from 1 species